rnacentral:rRNA from 1 species
UCGGGAGGCAGCAGUAGGGAAUCUUCCGCAAUGGGCGAAAGCCUGACGGAGCAACGCCGGUGAGUGAUGAAGGUUUUCGGAUCGUAAAACUCUGUUAUUAGGGAAGAACAAAUGCGUAAGUAACUGUGCGCAUCUUGACGGUACCUAAUCAGAAAGCCACGGCUAACUACGUGCCAGCAGCCGCGGUAA